GAAAGGCGCUCGGUUAUCGCUCUCGGUCAUCCCACGCCGCCUCCCCUCUGCUGUUGCGUUGCGCGAAGACCGUCGGAAGAUAGAGGAAAUAGCAGUUUUACGGGGGAGCGGGCGGGGGGGAAGGAAGGAAAACAUAUAUUUCAGUGGAUUUUUUUGUUUUGUUUUGCUUUUUAGAACGAGCCCAAACGCCGCCCGCUCGGCAAGCUAAACGCGGAUCUCGCAAAAUCAUCUCUCGAUGAAGAUUUUUUCACUAAAACCAUGGGAGAAGUUGGGAUUUUCUUUGGUUCGACCCCAAUAGGCAUUCACUGCUGUUUGUCAGACCUUCACGCUGGGCAGGUGUAACCAUCACAGAACAAGCACACAGUGUGGCAGCACAUGGGAGCACUCUGGAGCAGCGCUCCUGAGCUGGGCAGGUCCUGCCUCCUUCUCCAUCCUCACCACGACCACCUCCAAUGCACAGAGGAGCCCUGGGAUGGGGUGACACAGCCUGUCCUUGCCCUUCUGUUGGUGGUCAGAGGGUCGUGCAAAUUUAGGAUCGAACAAAGCUGUCCAUUAGGAGUCCUCCUGCCUCCACAAGCCGUGCUCUGUGUAGGAUAGAUGCAGUUCUCCUCCAGGCUCAGAUGGAUGCAGCCCAGGAAUCGCCCAAGAGACAAUAAAACAAACGUGAGACAAAGCAUUCAUUUACACCGCUUUAUUUCUGUAGUGUUCAGAGAAACUGGG
rnacentral:lncRNA from 1 species